ensembl:lncRNA
CAUGGCUCUUAGAUUUCAGCUCAGGACUAUAUAUCCCCAAGUCUAAGUUCUCCUGACUGUGCAACCAAGAUAAAAGACUUGCUAAAUUCUCCAUAGUCUUACUGGUUAGAUAGAUUAAAUAGGUUGCCUCUGAGAAUAAGUUCCUAUGAAAAGGGUAUUCCUGGACAUAAACUAUCUUGAAGGAUUUUUCGGUGGUAGCAUUUGAGACAUGAGGUAGAUUGGGAAGGGACUUAAUUGGGGUUGGAAUUUUUGGUCACCCCGUCAUACCACACCAUGCUAAGGAAGAACUGAGUGUUUUCAUGCCUAAAACCAGGUUUGUAACUGACUUGCAGUAUGGGUGUCAGGAGAAAUAUUUUUGUCUGGCAGAUGGUUGUUUUUUAAGGUUCUGGUGGCAGAAAUGGGAAAUUUUGAAACACAGAAUGUAUCCAAGGAGGUAAGUAAAAUCAGUCCUUAUUCAUGUGGGGAGUGUUUGGCAAGUAUGAUAGCUUUCUAUUAAUUGGCACCAAUGACAUCCAGGAUGCAUUAGCUCUGAGAGCUGAUAUGAGAACAAAGAUUGGGGCAGAAAAAGUGGAGUGUAACCAUCUGGGAGGCACAUAGGAAAAUAAAUGGCCUUGCCCGGUCCCCCUCCAGGGGAAAAAUGCCAGCGUCUCUAAGUGUUUGUGUUUUGAGUGGAUCUUUUCUAAACACCAGCUUAAUGAGCAGAGCAGACCUCAGUAAUCCAGUGAUAGGAACUCCAGAGAAGACUGUUGAGAAAUACAACACAAGGCCUCAUAGUGGUUUUGAGAGACUCCAUAAGAUGCCCCUUUACUGACAGAAUGAAAACGUGUCCUCUUCAAAGGCGGCCGGUGAAAAAAGUUGAGUAUGACCAGUGUUUGCCUCUUUCUAAUUAAAAAAAAGAAUCAGCUACCCAUGUUUGAGGGUGACAUUUAAAUUUAAGCACUUGCCCUUACCAAAUGAACAAAUCAAGCAGUUAAACCUUAAGGAAAGUGAAUUCCUGUCGUGGCUCAGCCGCAACAAACCUGACUAGGAUCCAUGAGGAUGCGGGUACCAUCUCUGGACUCCCUCAGGGGGCUAAGAAUCCGGUGUUGCCAUGAGCGGUGGUGUAGGUCAUAGACAUGGCUUGGAUCUGGUGUUGCUGUGGCUGUGGCAUUGCCUGGCAGCCGCAGCAACUCUGAUUCGACCACUAACCUGGGAACUUCCGUAUGCCACUGGUGUGGCCCUAAAAAAAAAAAAAAACCUCCAAAAACAAAAACAAAAAAAACCCACCUUAAGGAAAGAAUCCAAAAUGGAAAAAGAAAAAAACAUGAAUAAGGGCAUUAGCAGCAUAUCACAGCCCUGUAUUAAUUCUUCUCCGGGAGAUUGCCAAGAGACGAAAGGACUGUAUUUGAACAUGUGUGUUCUAUGGGCAAGCCUCUGAAAUAUGGUGCCUAUGACAAUUUAUUUCCAGCCCCUGACUUUGCUGUGCAUGACAGAGUUGAUUUGAUUUUCAAGAAGAUCCCUCAUCCGAAGGAAACACUGUGCUUCCACAAAGAUGCCCAGCUAUUGAAAAAGCUGUUGUGAGAGGAGAGUGGGGGCAGGAGAAGUGUAUUUUCUAAGAUUUUCCGAUACUAAAACCCAUUUACGACUGUUGAGAAAAAUCUCUCUGACGGAGGAUUUAGCUCUCACUAAUCCUUAAGUGACUUGUUUUGACAGAGCCUUUAUAGGAGAUUUUCUUGGUAACUUUGCUUUGCUCUAAAGGAGCAAUUACUGAUUUGUCCUCCAGCACCGUUUUUUUUCCCUCCAAACUUUUCCCUGUUUAAUGUAUGCCAGUUAAUGAACUUCAUGGAUGUUCCAAAAUAGCACGAGAAUCCGACCAGAACUGUUUACUGUAGAAAUUCAGGAACGUUUGGAUUUUCUUGGAUUUUCCGUUGCCUUUCCUGCCUCCGGGUAUCAAGGACCUGGAUUUCAUUUCGUGUGUCAUGUGGCCUUCUCAGCAGAUUCUUUGACUCGAGCUGGUGGAAAUCGAGCCCGACUUUCUAUUUACCCUGCACUUUCGCUACAUAAAGAUAUUUUCUCCUGCUUGAGGAACGAGCACGAGCACAGAGACCCCAGGUUUUUAAGCCUCCUGGUGUUUGCUUUUGCGCAGCAGACAGGCAUUAUCUUUUUUAGAGGGGACUAAAGGACCAGGAGUGUACUGCUCACCUCCCGUUAAAGGGACCGCUCAAAGCCAGUGCUAUGACAACGGGACCCUCACAUCUGUGCGCUUUUAUUUGCCAUCCUGCCUGCUGCACCUGAGAAGGGAUUUUUAAAAUUCCACCUUGCAUCCUAUCUUCCUCUUUGUAAUUAAGCUCCACCUCAGCAGCGACCUAGCAGGGCAGCGGUUCUAGCCCAGAGGAUCUCAAAGUGUGGUUCUCAGACGAGCAGUGUCAGCAUCUCCUGGGAACUCUCAGGAAUGCAGAUUCUCAAGCCCAACCUCGACCUGCUGAAUCGAAAAUCCAAGGAGUGAGGCCUGGCACUCUGGGUUUUUACACACUCUCCAGGUGAUUCUACUGCAGGCUGACUUGGCAGAGGAACUACCUUCUAGUCUCUUUUCUAUCAUAUGUCAGGGAAACCUGCUAAGGAUGCAUGCUCCAAAAGAAUACCACUUGCUGCCUCGGAAAUCUCCAGACUGGUGGCCCCACGUUGCAUUUUGGCUUAUGACUCGGAAAGCCUCAUCUGCCCAGUUUGGUUUCUGGUCCUAAUUUAUGGCUCGGAUCACUCUUUUUUCAUGAUUUCAAUAAACCAUGCCAGUGACGGGAUUGCAGAUAGGGCGUGGCAGGAGAGAGUUAUGAUUUUUCAAGCAGGUAUACAAACCUCUAGAGAGGCAAUAACAUAUUGCAUUUUAAAUUAUUUUUGAGACUUUUCUGAAAGCUUCCAGCUUUAAUCCUCUUGUCAGGGAGCUGCUGUGUUAAAAAGGAAAAAAAAAAAAA